rnacentral:rRNA from 1 species
GGUAUCGCCGUUAGUCAUGUGCAAAUAUGGAUAGCUGUUUUAGCCGUCUUUAUUGACUGGUUUAUAAGAGUUAUCAGAUAUCACUUUGAUUAAAUUAGAGUGCUUAAAGCAAGUGUGUUACUUGGAUAUAAAUGCAUGGAAUGAUGGAAUAUGUUGUUAUUCUAUUUGUUGGUUUUUGAAUGAUAAAAUGAUUGAAAGGAACUGUUGGGGGCAUUCGUAUUGUUGUGAGAGAGGUGAAAUUCUUAGACCACAGCAAGACGAACUACUGCGAAAGCAUUUGCCAAGAAUGUUUUCAUUGAUCAAGAACGAAAGUUAGAGGUUCGAAGGCGAUCAGAUACCGCCCUAGUUCUAACCAUAAACUAUGCCAACCAGCAAUUUGCUUUGUAUUUUUUAUGACUAAGUGAGAGGCCACGGGAAACCUAAGUAGGGUUAUGGGGGAAGUAUGGUUGCAAAGCUGAAACUUAAAGGAAUUGACGGAAGGGCACCACCAGGAGUGGAGCCUGCGGCUUAAUUUGACUCAACACGGGAAAACUUACCUGGUCCUGACACUAGAAGGAUUGACAGAUUGAUAGCUCUUUCUUGAUUUGGUGGAUGGUGGUGCAUGGCCGUUCUUAGUUGGUGGAGUGAUUUGUCUGGUUAAUUCCGAUAACGAACGAGACUCUAGCCUAUUAAAUAAUACACGGAAUUUUAUCUUCCGCGGUAUUUCUUAGUGGGAUCAAGCG